rnacentral:rRNA from 1 species
UAUGUGAUCGUCUCUCGCAUAUCAAUAAGCGGAGGAAAAGAAACUAACAAGGAUUCCCCUAGUAACGGCGAGUGAAGCGGGAAGAGCUCAAAUUUGAAAUCUUAAAGGGUUUCCCUUUACGAAUUGUAGUUUAAAGAAGUGUUUUCUGUUGAGGUUUUGGUAAAAGUUCUUUGGAAUAGGACAUCAUAGAGGGUGAGAAUCCCGUAUUUGACCUUUACUUUCAACUUUGUGAUACACUUUCAAAGAGUCGGAUUGUUUGGGAAUGCAGUCCAAAAUGGGUGGUAAAUUUCAUCUAAAGCUAAAUAUUGGCGAGAGACCGAUAGCGAACAAGUACCGUGAGGGAAAGAUGAAAAGAACUUUGAAAAGAGAGUUAAACAGUACGUGAAAUUGUCAAAAGGGAAGCGUUUGACACCAGUGUUGUUUUUCUGAAAAUCAAUUAAAGAACUGUUUAUGCUAAGCUGUUUAGACUUUAUCAGCUAACUGUUUAGUUUUGAGCUUUUCUUUAAUGCACUUUUCAGUUAACAAGUCAACAUCAAUUUCUUUUGCUGUAAAAAAGCUUGAGGAGGGUGGCUUGAGAUUCGUCUUAAGUGUUUAUAGCCUCUUGCCUAUGCAGUCGGAGAGAUUGAGGUCUGCAGCGUAGAUCCUUCGGGGCUAAAUGCAUUUGUGCUAAGUUAUAGCAUUUUAUAGACAACUUGUUGACUAUGAUUUGUCUUGUAGCUUACUCGCUUAUGUUAUUUUACCUACGCUUAGGAUGUUGAACGCGCACAGAGUCUC